UACAGAGGUCUCAAGCGUUGUUCGGAUUCAUUGGGCGUAAAGGGUGCGUAGGUGGCGUGGUAAGUCUGGUGUGAAAUCCCGGGGCUCAACCCCGGAACUGCACUGGAUACUGCUUUGCUUGAGUACUGGAGAGGAGAUUGGAAUUUACGGUGUAGCAGUGAAAUGCGUAGAUAUCGUAAGGAAGACCAGUGGCGAAGGCGAAUCUCUGGACAGUUACUGACACUGAUGCACGAAGGCCAGGGGAGCAAACGGG
rnacentral:rRNA from 1 species